rnacentral:rRNA from 1 species
UACGUAGGGUGCGAGCGUUAAUCGGAAUUACUGGGCGUAAAGUGUGCGCAGGCGGCCGCGCAAGUCGAGUGUGAAAGCCCCGAGCUUAACUUGGGAAUGGCAUUUGGGACUGCAAGGCUUGAGUGCGGCAGAGGAGACUGGAAUUCCUGGUGUAGCAGUGAAAUGCGUAGAUAUCAGGAGGAAUACCGAUGGCGAAGGCAGGUCUCUGGGCUGACACUGACGCUCAUGCACGAAAGCGUGGGGAGCAAACAGG